CCAAAAUGGAAUUAAACUCUAAAAGUACAAAAAGAUACCAAAAAUAAGAUUUCCCAAAAUUUAAAAAAAAUCGUGUCCCAGAAAUGUACUAUGCGGUAGCAUAGUUCAUUUCAAUGCAAUUGCAUAGAACAUUUAAAAAUCCUCAAUUUGGCAUUGGUAUGAAGCUAUGUGGUCGCAUGCAUUUUAAGCUAUGUAGUCGUAUAGCUUUAAACUUGACAUCUCUUUUUUCUUUGUGCUAAAUUUCGUGACGAUUUCGGAUUGCAUUCAUGGACAAAAAUCUGACACACAAGCUUAAAGUUAUGCUUGUUUUUAUCCACGCUACUCAUUUUUCUCAUAUAUCUUACAAAAUUUGAAUCCAAUGCACCAAACUUGCCACCAUCUUCAUGUCCAACAUGUAAGUUGUUAUUUGGCUUGUUGCACACAAUCUCUUUGGCUUCUGCAUCUCGGACAACUCAUUUUGUGGAUAACUUGAUUCUUCGUGGCUCUUGAUCUUGUCUUUAGUUCCUCUUCAAUUUGAGCUAGAUCUUUGUAAUUUGUUGUCUUCCUUGGAUCACAUCAUUUAGCAAGACAUAUAUAUAUAUAUAUAUA
rnacentral:lncRNA from 1 species